GGCCUGAAUGUGCCCGUUCGGCUUCAGCAUGACGUCAAAAGAAUCAAUCAGGAUAUUAUUUUUCACCUUAUGGCUU
rnacentral:tRNA from 1 species